rnacentral:rRNA from 1 species
GCAGGCCUAACACAUGCAAGUCGAGCGGUAGAAGGAAGCUUGCUUCCUUUGAGAGCGGCGGACGGGUGAGUAAUGCCUAGGAAUCUGCCUGGUAGUGGGGGAUAACGUUCGGAAACGGACGCUAAUACCGCAUACGUCCUACGGGAGAAAGCAGGGGACCUUCGGGCCUUGCGCCAUCAGAUGAGCCUAGGUCGGAUUAGCUUGUUGGUGAGGUAAUGGCUCACCAAGGCAACGAUCCGUAACUGGUCUGAGAGGAUGAUCAGUCACACUGGAACUGAGACACGGUCCAGACUCCUACGGGAGGCAGCAGUGGGGAAUAUUGGACAAUGGGGGAAACCCUGAUCCAGCCAUGCCGCGUGUGUGAAGAAGGCCUUAGGAUUGUAAAGCACUUUAAGUUGGGAGGAAGGGUUAUAGCCUAAUACGCUGUAACUUUGACGUUACCGACAGAAUAAGCACCGGCUAACUCUGUGCCAGCAGCCGCGGUAAUACAGAGGGUGCAAGCGUUAAUCGGAAUUACUGGGCGUAAAGCGCGCGUAGGUGGCAAAGUAAGAUGGGUGUGAAAUCCCCGGGCUCAACCUGGGAACUGCAUCCAUAACUGCUUCGCUAGAGUACGGUAGAGGGUAGUGGAAUUUCCUGUGUAGCGGUGAAAUGCGUAGAUAUAGGAAGGAACACCAGUGGCGAAGGCGACUACCUGGACUGAUACUGACACUGAGGUGCGAAAGCGUGGGGAGCAAACAGGAUUAGAUACCCUG